rfam:Cavia porcellus supercont2_37 genomic scaffold, whole genome shotgun sequence.
GGGGAUAUAGCUCAGUGGCAUAAGUGCCUGCCUGGCAAGCACAAAGCCCUGAGUUCAAUUCCCAGUGCCACCA